rnacentral:rRNA from 1 species
UACGUAGGAUGCAAGCGUUGUCCGGAUUUACUGGGCGUAAAGCGCGCGCAGGCGGCAUACCAAGUAUUCAGUGAAAUCUCCCUGCUCAACGGGGAGGGUGCUGAGUAGACUGGUAAGCUAGAGGACGGUAGAGGGGGGUAGAAUUGCUGGUGUAGCGGUGAAAUGCGUAGAGAUCAGCAGGAAUACCCGUGGCGAAGGCGGCCCCCUGGGCCGUUUCUGACGCCGAGGCGCGAAGGCUAGGGGAGCGAACGGG